GUUAGGACAAGUCUAAAAAUUAAAAGGACAAGUCUGAUUUUAGGACAAGAGUCUAAGAAGAGAAUUAAGGAAGACAAGGAGAGAAGAAAGGUAGGGAUAGGAAGGCUAGGAGAAGAGGAAGAGCGUCUUGAGGUCUUGGUGUUCAAGAAAAUUCUCAGAGUGAGAAUUUUGGAGGAGGAAUCAUUUCAAAGAGUUGGUGUCUUGAUCAUAGCCUUGUGUGAAUCACCAUUGGAGGGCGAACACUUGGGCGCCUGGUGGAGGUUCUGCCAAAAUUUGGAUUAGACGCUGUAGGUAU
rnacentral:lncRNA from 1 species